GGCGCUAUAGUGUAGUGGUUAUCACUUGGGAUUCUGAUUGUAAGUUCCCAAAACCCAGGUUCGAGCCCUGGUAGCGCCU
rfam:Phlebiopsis gigantea 11061_1 CR5-6 unplaced genomic scaffold PHLGIscaffold_24, whole genome shotgun sequence.